rnacentral:lncRNA from 1 species
UUUCAAACUAUUGUUCGGUUAAUCCAGGCAAGUAUACUCUCCAUGGUGUCAGUACACAGCACUCCACGUACACACCACUUUGGCUUCAUAUAGACAUGCAAUUUUUGUUAUGAUGAAGACAACCUUAUUACAACAAGCACAAUAAUCUCAUGUCUAUUGACACUAAUAAGUUGCAAAAGACUACAUCUCGUGUAAUGAACAUGAUAUUCUUCCUCUGAAGACUGGAGCUACUUCAUGCAUGACUUGACCCUUGUAACUGUCAUAAAAAGAGAAGUAUAUUGUAAACACAUGUCAACAACUAUAAACUAUUUAAGCGAGGUGAAUAUUCGAUGUAUUGAUUUAAAAAUAAUCAGCAUAUUGACUAAAACAUCUUAUGAUGUAGCCAACUUACAAAACCAUGACCAAACAACAAAGAGUAAAGCAAUUGACCAAACAACAAAGAGCAAAGAGUAAAUAAUCAGCAUAUUUACUAUAACAUCUUAUGAUGUAUUGUAUAAUGCCAACCAUUUCACAAAGUCAAUUGACCAUAAUGAAAUAUCAGGGGUUAGAAUAUAAUUUGGUUGAAGGAAUGGCUUCCCCAACGUAGACAGGGACAAUGAAGUGAACAAGGAAUAGCAGAUCCAUGCAAUAGGUGCCAAGACCAAAGAACUAAGAUAGCUCAGUAGUGAUGAUUUCACCAGACUAACUGAAGUAUCAUGCUCUUGUACAUCGAGCUUGCAAGAUAUGCUGGAAGUAGCAGGAUAAAACAAACAUAAGAGCUAGGAGUUGGGAGUCCUAGUGGCUUGGGGUCCUAGUAUCAAACACGCUAAGAUCUAAACUAGUGGCAUCUGUGAUAACUAGAUUCUCAUGGUUCUCAUCUUCAGCAGAGUGAGAUACAUCAGGUUCUAACUAUGGUUGAGACUUGAGCACCAUAGUUAAGUAAAAACUGCACCGAAAAGCCAAUGCAACAAUGCUAUAUCGACCUAGGCUCAUUAGUAUGGAAUAUUGAUACUGACUUGUUGGUGGAGACCGGAGAAUUUACAGUUAUGUUUGAUCUGGCCAUUGAUCUGCUAUAUCUUAGUUUAAAACUUCAGUAUUUUCUCACAGUUGCCAAUUGAAUAAUUUUUCUCAAGUGUAUUCUGAUACACAAUCAAUUCCCAUUGUUUGGGCAAUUUUAUCUGUACUCUUCUAAUAUUUGUAUCUCAUAUGUAGCGUUGCUAGAUACUGAAUUCUGCUUAAUGUAACAUUAACGAGUAGUAUAUUAAGUGUCUUCAUAAAAAAACUUUUAAGCUACAUAAAAGAAUAAUGGCAAUGGUUGUAUUUAACAACCAUAGAGCAUGAGAUCUGAUACGUUUUCUUUUGAAACGAAUACUAAGUACAUGUAAAUGCAAUACACUGACAUUUUCUACUCAAGGUUAUUGAAAUGCAAGUGGAAUGUGACUUUGAUUCCUUAUUGUAAGUGAAACCGCAGUUGAAUGUUCCAGUUUCAAUUCUAGCAGCCAACUUGACCUUUGUUACUCUUGUUUUAAACAAUGUUGAGCGGUGAUGUAUUUAUUCCAGUGAAAACUCUCUACAAUGAUGAUACCGAUGAUACUCAAUAUGAUUAAUAUUUCAUGGCUGAUGAACAAAGGCAAAGGUGGGGAGAGUGGACCGUCAGUCCCAAAGAUUGCUGACAAAAGUCGAGAAGGUGAUAUCUUUCCUGCUGCAUCACUUGAUGAAUACGCCGAACAAACUAGAGAGCAAGAGGAAGAUGACUCAGAUGUAGAUUGUUUGCUGAUAGUUAAGUAAAUUGUAGCUAGAAGAUAGUUAAGUCUCAUUUUCUUUCUAUUCCGAAAUCCAAUAUCUGGAACUUUAUGUUCACCACUUUCAGCUCACCGGCCUUCCGACCUGUGUAAUGUCAUCCUUCCAAAACCCGAAGAUAUAAUCCUCUAAUCUCUAGCUGCUCAUCAGGAUCUUGACGCUUUGCUUUGGUAGAUUUAGUCAAGGUUUUUCUCUCUAUUUUUACAGCAAUACUUGGAGCAAGAUCUACCUUUUCCCUGUGCCUGCUCUCAGCCAGAGUCCCCCGCCCGCUCGAGCAAGAUCUAAACAUUUUUUGUCUUCGUACUACCUACCGCUCACUCUCAGCUAGACGUUGCUUAUGGUUGCGUACGUUGUGGGAUGUGAAGCGCGUUCGGGACUCCGCUGCUGCUUGGGCUCCUCCGUCGGAUCCACCGACCUCCGUCGGAUCCACCAACGUCCAGGACUCCAAGGAGAUGCGCACACCGUGCGUCCAGGGAUGCGUAUGCAGCGGGACGGAGCGUCGUGGGAUGACGAGGGAACAAAAAGCAGAUGGGAAGGAAGAAGCAUACCGGUGAGAAGGAGGCCGCCGGAGCAUAUCGACGCCAGAGAGCCGUCACUGCCAGCCCGCCGCUGCCGCCUUGUGCCCUUCGCGAUGCCUCCUCUAUCGCGUCUGUCUGGGAUAUUUUCC